UACGGAGGGGGCUAGCGUUGUUCGGAAUUACUGGGCGUAAAGCGCGCGCAGGCGGCUUUGUAGGUCAGAGGUGAAAGCCUGGAGCUCAACUCCAGAACUGCCUUUGAAACUGCAUCGCUAGAAUCAUGGAGAGGUUAGUGGAAUUCCGAGUGUAGAGGUGAAAUUCGUAGAUAUUCGGAAGAACACCAGUGGCGAAGGCGACUAACUGGACAUGUAUUGACGCUGAGGUGCGAAAGCGUGGGGAGCAAACAGG
rnacentral:rRNA from 1 species